rnacentral:tRNA from 1 species
CCCCUGCUGGCUAAGUGGUAAAGAAUCUGCCUGCAGUGCAGGAGACGUGGGUUCAAUUCCCGGGUCCGGAA